rnacentral:lncRNA from 1 species
UGACCCCGGCCUCCUCGUCGGCGGAGGGGAGACCGACUGUCACCCUCUCUACUCUUCUCCUUCUACGUCCGGCACCGCUACAACGACGGCCGCGCGGAUCGCGUGAGGCAACGGGUGGCUGCUCCCUACUCUUCUCCCUCUCCCUCUCCCAUUCUCUUCCUUUGCAGAUCGGCGGAGGCUUGCAACAACAACAACGGCUGCGUGGGUGAGCAAUCGAGGAGGCCAGGAAUCACCAGAUCCGGAAGGACGGCGGCCCGGUUCGGAGAGGGAGCAUCCCGAUCUGUGGCAUUGAGGCCCAUUGUAAGUGUCGAUGGCGGUCGUUCCUUCACAGUGGUGAGUUCCAGGGGGAAGGCCCUGCUCCCCUGCCCUUUCUUUCUUCACUCUCCCCCUCUCUCGGAUCCAAAUCCAAAGAUGAUGGGGAGGUUCCAUGUUACAGAUCCAGGGCCGCUGGGUCUAUUGAGCUCGGUAUCGACGGCAGCAGCAGCUCGGGCAAGAUGGAAGAAAUGUGUCAGACACUGCCUCCUCCGAGAGCAUACACCAGCGACGAGGCCAAAGUCGAUCUUCCGCAACCCCGUCUGGCAUUAUAACUUAUAUAAGAUUCAGAAAUCAGAAUCACUUCAGCUUCAGCUUGCUUGGAGCACGCCGGCGCAGGGUUUCCUCGACGGGUCUUGGCUCUGCCGUGCCCUCCUCGCGCCGCCCUUUCAUACUGACAGUUGUUCGAGGUUGCCUCCCCCGCUCAUGGCGACCUCCACCUCAGUUGGAGUUGGGAAGCUCCUUUCCCGACGUCCCCACAACACGGUGACCUUGGCCUCAACCCGGUGCUGCUACGCUCAGCUCAACGAUUGCUCAAACUACAAUGGGCAAUAACAAUAUUGCAUUUGAGGGCCUCAUUUUUGGUUGCCCUCACCUGAGCAUAUGUAGGAUACAGCCUGUGAUGAUGCCGUUAGUACAGAGUUGUUCCCUCUCUCAGCCUCCCACCAUCUUCUCCUGUCUCUCUCUGAGCAUCACCUCCAUUGCUGUCAAGGUGAUGUUUGAGCUCAAUCGGUAGGAGGUCAAAGAAGGUUGAAUAUGUAAAUAAUUUGCCAACAUGAUUUUCUCAUAUUGGGUGGUUUAGUAAGUUAACACUUAAUACCAAUCACUUCAUUUCAGCUUCUCACUAACAAGCAGCCAAGGUCUCUUCACGGAUUAUUGUCCAUGGAUGGCCAAGCUUUUCAGCAAAAUGAAAAGGUGAAAUAUAAUGAAAUAUUAUUCCCUUGCUCCAUAAAGCUUCAGAUGUGGAGUGAGCUUGCUGCUCUGCAAGCUGACAUUCCAUUUUUAAAUGUAGAGUGUGCUUGAAUUAAUCAAAGAAGCAGAUUUAUAUACAUCACAAACCUUUUUUUUUAUGCUGUUGCUCAUUUAAAAAAAAUGUGAAGUUUGUGCUGUCUAUUACAAUUACAUCCAGCCUUGCUAUUCAUCUUGGCCAAGGAGGCCAUCGCGUCCAUGGCAUUUUACUCCUUGAGUGCACUGCUUUAAUGCUAUUAUAAACAUAAAAGUGAACUUAUGGAAGUCCAGAUUUCCUAUUGUAAAUUUUUGUGCUAUUCUCAUCAAACUUCAUACUGUAAAUUCUGUUAUGUGUAAUUCCUAUUGCACUAUUCUUGUUGUAAGAUUAAUCAUAAAAGUUUAGAGAUGUUUGGAC